UGGUUCUGGCAUNGAUGAAGAACGCAGCGAAAUGCGAUAAGUAAUGUGAAUUGCAGAAUUCAGUGAAUCAUCGAAUCUUUGAACGCACAUUGCGCCCCUCGGAAUUCCGGGGGGCAUGCCUGUUCGAGCGUCAUUACUCCUCUCAAGCGUAGCUUGGCCUUGGGCCCCGUCCGGCGAGGGCGGGCCCGAAAGCGAGCGGCGGUCCGGUGGGACUUCGGGUGCAGUCAAAUCAUUUCCACACCGAACGUCCCCCUGGACCCGCCGGGACCUCUGACCUAAACAAUUGACCUCGGAUCAGGUAGGGAUACCCGCUGA
rnacentral:misc_RNA from 1 species